rnacentral:tRNA from 1 species
GGGGCCGCCGGCUGGUGCCGGGCCGAGUCUCCAAAACUGUGCGCAGAGGGUUCGAUUCCCUCCGGCUCCA